UUAGUUGAAGCUAAAGUUAGCAGCAUCUCACUGUUAAUGGGAUUUAGAAAUUUUAUUUUCCAACUAAG
rnacentral:tRNA from 1 species